AAAAAAGCAGGGUCAUGUUGUCUUCUGUGAACACGGCUCUCGUAAACUUCAGGAAAAGUAACUGCAUUAUUAUUGGGUGAACCUCUGUUGUUAUUGGUGACUGAAGGUUCAGUAAAUGAUGUCACAUUU
rfam:Citrus clementina cultivar Clemenules unplaced genomic scaffold scaffold_4, whole genome shotgun sequence.